ensembl:snoRNA LOC120099504 small nucleolar RNA SNORA17
ACUGCCACUAACAGCAUUACAUGUGUGUCUGCUUUGUCACACAAGCAUCAGUAGAUGGCAGAGAGGAGAGAGGCUAUGUCUAUGCUUAGUAGCCUAACAUU